rnacentral:rRNA from 1 species
AUUGAACGCUGGCGGCAGGCUUAACACAUGCAGGUCGAGCGGAGAUGAGGUGCUUGCACCUUAUCUUAGCGGCGGACGGGUGAGUAAUGCUUAGGAAUCUGCCUAUUAGUGGGGGACAACAUUCCGAAAGGAAUGCUAAUACCGCAUACGCCCUACGGGGGAAAGCAGGGGAUCUUCGGACCUUGCGCUAAUAGAUGAGCCUAAGUCGGAUUGGCUAGUUGGUGGGGUAAAGGCCUACCAAGGCGACGAUCUGUAGCGGGUCUGAGAGGAUGAUCCGCCACACUGGGACUGAGACACGGCCCAGACUCCUACGGGAGGCAGCAGUGGGGAAUAUUGGACAAUGGGCGGAAGCCUGAUCCAGCCAUGCCGCGUGUGUGAAGAGGGCCUUUUGGUUGUAAAGCACUUUAAGCGAGGAGGAGGCUACCUGGAUUAAUACUCUAGGAUAGUGGACGUUACUCGCAGAAUAAGCACCGGCUAACUCUGUGCCAGCCGCCGCGGUAACAC